AUAAUGGGUCAGCGACUUAUAUUCUGUAGCAAGGUUAACCGAAUAGGGGAGCCGAAGGGAAACCGAGUCUUAACUGGGCGUUAAGUUGCAGGGUAUAGACCCGAAACCCGGUGAUCUAGCCAUGGGCAGGUUGAAGGUUGGGUAACACUAACUGGAGGACCGAACCGACUAAUGUUGAAAAAUUAGCGGAUGACUUGUGGCUGGGGGUGAAAGGCCAAUCAAACCGGGAGAUAGCUGGUUCUCCCCGAAAGCUAUUUAGGUAGCGCCUCGUGAAUUCAUCUCCGGGGGUAGAGCACUGUUUCGGCAAGGGGGUCAUCCCGACUUACCAACCCGAUGCAAACUGCGAAUACCGGAGAAUGUUAUCACGGGAG
rnacentral:rRNA from 1 species